UCUAAGCUUCCUUCUAAUUAUAACAUUCUAUGCUCAAAGAUUCUUCUUUGGAUCAAAGGAUCAUUGGAUACUAAAGGGAAAGGACCUUAGAAACCAAUGGGUUCAACUUCCUCACUUUGUAGAUGAAGAAAUUUGGGGUUUAACAAGGUUACUUGGUCAAGGGCACUUCAAUUCCAACCCCAGCAUAAUUUCCAUUUUACUACAGUGCUUCUCAUCAACAAGCAUAGGGUGGAUAUUUCAUUAUUAUAUCUUUUAAAUGCCUAGACAUUGUACAACUGCCUUUAAAGAUACAGUAGAAGUGACUUUAUGGUUUUUUUUAGAUAAAACCAAAAAGUGUCAGAUAUGCAUUUGAAACAUAACUAGAGAAGGAAGUGAAAUGUUUUUGAUUUAGAAGAGCAAGCCUCAGAAGAGAAUAACUCUAAACAGUGUCUUCAUCUGUCUUCAUUUCUUACCUCUGCAAAAAAGUUUUUGAAAACAGAAAGAGAGGGAAGAAGAGAGGGAGAAAAAAAAUUUGUUAUUGAUCACCAAGAUUUGUUUUCUUCUCUCUACAUAUGGGUCAAAAGAAUCAACCUCACAACAAAAGAUGGUGAAGGCAUAGCUAUGCAAAAAUUAAUCUUAAGAAGAUCUCAGCUUCUUGGAGGACAGUGGAUCAAGGAGUCAGCAAUGUGUCAUGACAAAAACAAGGGAAAAAAAGAAUAUAAUGCCAUUAUAGGAUUCAUUAAGAAAGGUCUUAGAAGAGUACCUGACAUGGCAAAGGUGCUAAGUGCAGGCUUGCUGACCGAUUGACUGAUUAAGGUUUGAGACUUGUUGGUUACACUCAACCCUGUUUAGCCUGCCUACAAAGAAGAUUCAGGGGUGUCUGCUGUGCAUGUUACAGCUUCUUGGAGCCACAGGUAAGAACUGAGUGGCAGGAAAGCCACCCUAAAAAGGUACAGC
rnacentral:lncRNA from 1 species